rnacentral:tRNA from 1 species
AAAGGGAGACCUAAUUCAGGUAGGAGACGAAAAAAAAGUAGUCCCAACCAAGAAUCAAUCCCAAAAGGUCGGAGCGAGGUAUGAGGCUUUCAAACUAGGUUCUGGGUUCAUAAAAGACCUGAAUCAGGAACAAGGGCUAUUAGCUCAGGUGGUUAGAGCGCACCCCUGAUAAGGGUGAGGUCCCUGGUUCGAGUCCAGGAUGGCCCACCUGCACAGGUGGCAAAAACAAAGAAAAGAAGCUCCGAAUCAGCACCUUAUCUUACUUAUAUAGUAAGAGAGAAUGCUGGCUCUGAGUUCAGAGUCCAGAGGAACCUUGAAAACUGCAUAGAGCUAGGUGAAAAAGCCAAAAAAGAAGACCGCAAG